AACGAACGCUGGCGGCGUGGAUAAGACAUGCAAGUCGAACGGAUUUUGCGCUGUAGCAAUACAGUGCAGAGUCAGUGGCGCAAGGGUGCGUAACACGUGGGCAAUCUGCCCUGGGGUGUGGGAUAGCCCGCCGAAAGGCGGAUUAAUACCGCAUAUGGCUACUCAACGAUUGUUGGGGACGCUAAAGGAGGUGCAAGCUUCCGCUCCGGGAUGGGCCCGCGGCCUAUCAGCUAGUUGGUGAGGUAACGGCCCACCAAGGCUUUGACGGGUAGCUGGUCUGAGAGGACGACCAGCCACACUGGAACUGAGACACGGUCCAGACACCUACGGGUGGCAGCAGUCGAGUAAUUUUUCUCAAUGGGGAAACCCUGAAGGAGCGACGCCGCGUGGAGGAUGUAA
rnacentral:rRNA from 1 species